rnacentral:rRNA from 1 species
UGGGGGAUAUUGGACAAUGGGGGGAAACCCUGAUCCAGCGAUGCCGCGUGAGGGAAGAAGGUUUUCGGAUUGUAAACCUCUGUGGACAGGGACGAUAAUGACGGUACCUGUCUAGAAAGCCACGGCUAACUACGUGCCAGCAGCCGCGGUAAUACGUAGGUGGCGAGCGUUGUCCGGAAUUACUGGGUGUAAAGGGAGUGUAGGCGGGAGAGCAAGUCGGAAGUGAAAAUUAUGGGCUUAACCCAUAACCUGCUUUUGAAACUGUUCUUCUUGAGUGAAGUAGAGGCAAGCGGAAUUCCUAGUGUAGCGGUGAAAUGCAUAGAUAUUAGGAGGAACACCAGUGGCGAAGGCGGCUUGCUGGGCUUUUACUGAC